AGUGAACGCUGGCGGUAGGCCUAACACAUGCAAGUCGAACGGCAGCACAGUAAGAGCUUGCUCUUACGGUUGGCGAGUGGCGGACGGGUGAGAAAUACAUCGGAAUCUACUUUUUCGUGGGGGAUAACGUAGGGAAACUUACGCUAAUACCUCAUACGACCUACGGGUGAAAUCAGGGGAUCUUCGGACCUUGCGCGAUUGAAUGAGCCGAUGUCGGAUUAGCUAGUUGGCGGGGUAAAGGCCCACCAAGGCGACGAUCCGUAGCUGGUCUGAGAGGAUGAUCAGCCACACUGGAACUGAGACACGGUCCAGACUCCUACGGGAGGCAGCAGUGGGGAAUAUUGGACAAUGGGCGAAAGCCUGAUCCAGCAAUACCGCGUGGGUGAAGAAGGCCUUCGGGUUGUAAAGCCCUUUUGUUGGGAAAGAAAAGCAGCAGGUUAAUCCCCCGCUGUUCUGACGGUACCCAAAGAAUAAGCACCGGCUAACUUCGUG
rnacentral:rRNA from 1 species